GUCUACAGCCAUGCCACCCUGAACAAGCCCGAUCCCAUCUGAUCUUGGAAGCUAAGCAGGGUCGGGCCUGGUUAGUACUUGGAUGGGAGACCACCUGGAAGACCAGGUGCUGUCAAUU
rnacentral:rRNA from 1 species